GACGAACGCUGGCGGCGUGCUUAACACAUGCAAGUCGAACGGUAAGGCCCUUCGGGGUACACGAGCGGCGAACGGGUGAGUAACACGUGGGUGAUCUGCCCUGCACUUCGGGAUUAGACUGGGAAACUGGGUCUAAUACCGGCUACGACUCCUGGCUUCAUGGUUGGGGGGGGAAAGCUUUUGCGGUGUGGGAUGGGCCCGCGGCCUAUCAGCUUGUUGGUGGGGUAAUGGCCUACCAAGGCGACGACGGGUAGCCGGCCUGAGAGGGUGACCGGUCACACUGGGACUGAGAUACGGCCCAGACUCCUACGGGAGGCAGCAGUGGGGAAUAUUGCACAAUGGGCGCAAGCCUGAUGCAGCGACGCCGCGUGAGGGAUGACGGCCUUCGGGUUGUAAACCUCUUUCAGCUAUGACGAAGCGCAAGUGACGGUAGUAGCAGAAGAAGGACCGGCCAACUACGUGCCAGCCGCCGCCGUAA
rnacentral:rRNA from 1 species